GCGAAUGAAGCGGCAAAAGCUCAAAUUUGAAAUCUGGCACUUUCAGUGUCCGAGUUGUAAUUUGAAGAAGGUAUCUUUGGGUCUGGCUCUUGUCUAUGUUUCUUGGAACAGAACGUCACAGAGGGUGAGAAUCCCGUGCGAUGAGAUGUCCCAGACCUAUGUAAAGUUCCUUCGAAGAGUCGAGUUGUUUGGGAAUGCAGCUCUAAGUGGGUGGUAAAUUCCAUCUAAAGCUAAAUAUUGGCGAGAGACCGAUAGCGAACAAGUACAGUGAUGGAAAGAUGAAAAGAACUUUGAAAAGAGAGUGAAAAAGUACGUGAAAUUGUUGAAAGGGAAGGGCUUGAGAUCAGACUUGGUAUUUUGUAUGUUACUCUCUCGGGGGUGGCCUCUACAGUUUACCGGGCCAGCAUCAGUUUGAGCGGUAGGAUAAGUGCAAAGAAAUGUGGCACUGCUUCGGUAGUGUGUUAUAGUCUUUGUCGAUACUGCCAGCUUAGACUGAGGACUGCGGCUUCGGCCUAGGAUGUUGGCAUAAUGAUCUUAAGUCGCCCGUCU
rnacentral:rRNA from 1 species